rnacentral:tRNA from 1 species
GGAGAGGUGACCGAGCGGCCGAAGGUGCUCGCCUGGAAAGCGGGUGUACCGAAAGGUACCGGGGGUUCGAAUCCCCCCCUCUCCGCCA